rnacentral:misc_RNA from 1 species
CCUAUAUUAAAAGAGAAAAAACCAAAGAAAAAUGAAAACAGCGAAGACGACGAUGAUGAUCAUGAAGAUGAUGAACAUAAUAAUAAUAAUAAUAAUGAAAAACCAGCUGAACAUGGUCCUCCAAGACAUGGUGUGAGGUUUGGCGGGGUUGAGACUUUUACGAUGGAUGUCAAAGAAGUAAGGCCAGAUGAAAGGCCGCCGGAAAAUAUCGCCGUCGUUGAGAGGUUCCCGGCGCCGGAGCAAAAGGCCGGCGGCGGUGGAGGAGCUAA